AUACGGAGGGUGCAAGCGUUGUUCGGAAUUACUGGGCGUAAAGCGCGUAGGCGGCUUGGUAAGUCAGAUGUGAAAGCCCGGGGCUCAACCCCGGAAGUGCAUUUGAAACUAUCAGGCUUGAGUAUGGGAGAGGGAAGUGGAAUUCCUGGUGUAGAGGUGAAAUUCGUAGAUAUCAGGAGGAACACCGGUGGCGAAGGCGACUUCCUGGACCAAUACUGACGCUGAGGCGCGAAGGCGUGGGGAGCAAACAGGAUUAGAAACCCCGGUAGUCC
rnacentral:rRNA from 1 species